UGCCAGGGUAGUUUAAUAAAACAUUAGGUCGUGACCCUAACGAUAGAUACUUUUUCUUCUUGGCC
rnacentral:tRNA from 1 species